AAAAAUAAGGUGAAAAACCAAUUAGCUGUGUCUUGUGAAACUCUGUCCCUUGCUAUAAAAUGUCUAACAUAGGAUAGACAAUCACAAUUGGGGAAGAAAAUUGAGGCUUAAAAAAUUAAUUGCACCAAUAUAGGAUAGGAAAGACUUGGCUUAACAAUUUGUGUGAAGCAACUGCUAAUUUUAACGGAUGACAAACAUGAAAAAUUCAUGCAUUUUUAUAUAGCAAUAUUAGAAACAUAAUGUCAAGUUGAAAGGAGGUAACAGUAACAGUUAACUAGAACUCAUCACAAUUACAGCUAUUAAAAAUGGAACCGGCUAUCUAAAAGGGUCAUAAGACCACAGGAUUUAGAAGUAGAAGGUCAUCCAGUGCCACAUCUUCAUUUUGCAGAUGAGAACAAUGAAGCCCAAAGACAGAAAAUUGCUUGUCAACAAGACAGUCUACUCUAUGACUAUGUAUGAGAUAUAUACAAAAAAAACCAAAACUCACAAUGAAAGAAAGGAUGAAGAAAAUCUACAAACUGAACAAAUCAUUUUAACUUGGAUAUUUCAGUGAAGUGCUUCUUCCACUAUAAUGCUGCACUCAUAAUUGUUCAAUUUCUCUUUAAGUUUAUGCCUUCUAGUUAGCAGAUACAUCUUAGAAAGACUUUUCAAUAGACUAAACAUAGUAAUAAUAAACUGAUGUGAAGGAUUACUUUUUGUCAUGAAAAGGGGAAAAUGAAUGGGAAGAAACCCUACAGUUGUGGUAAAUGUUCAAACUAGACCCCGAUUUGUUUAUUUUUCUGUUGUCCUGUGCUAAUAAGUUUUUGCCUUACACCAUUUUCCAAUAAAAAUUUUGCAUUCAAAUGGUUUCCCUUACUAUUUUUACAUUUAUUUUCCAUCACAGCAGUACUUCUUCCUUUCUUUCCAUCAGCUGCCUGCUUGCUUUUUUCUACCCUGUCCUCUUCCUCCUUCUCCACGCAUUUACAUUUCUGGCUUGGCUUCAUUUAUUGCUGUUUAUUUCUUUCCUUUUUUUUAAAGGCAAUUGAAGUUAAGUGACUUGCCCAGGGUCACAC